AUACAGAGGGUGCGAGCGUUAAUCGGAUUUACUGGGCGUAAAGCGUACGUAGGCGGCUUUUAAGUCGGAUGUGAAAUCCCUGAGCUUAACUUAGGAAUUGCAUUCGAUACUGGGAGCUAGAGUAUGGGAGAGGAUGGUAGAAUUCCAGGUGUAGCGGUGAAAUGCGUAGAGAUCUGGAGGAAUACCGAUGGCGAAGGCAGCCAUCUGGCCUAAUACUGACGCUGAGGUACGAAAGCAUGGGGAGC
rnacentral:rRNA from 1 species